GAGAUUUGAUUGUGGAUUUUUGCAGUGGAGGGGGCCAUGUUGGAAUUGUUCUUGCUUAUAUGAUGCCAUCAUGUCAGGUGGUACUUAUAGAAAAUAAGGAGUUGUCUCUGAUCCGUGCUAAAGACAGAAGUGAUGAACUAGGUUUAAACAACAUUUGGUUCAUUCAAGCAAAUUUGGACUAUUUUAAUGGGACUUUUAACAUUGGGGUAAGUGAUUAUAACUUUUCCACUUCAAAACUUCAGUGUCUGAUUAGUUAUUCUUAAAGUAACUGAUGCAUGUAAGAGGAUAAAAUCCUGUAUGUCUUUACAGACUCUGAAAGUAAAUGAGAUUAAUGUCCUGUCUAGAAUUUUUCAGCCCUAGUGAAGAAUAGGGCAUAAAUAGUAUUUUGUAGCUCUGUAAAUAUUCCUGUCAUCUAGUUUUUUACGCUGUUUAUAGAAUAUAACCUCUGUGGCAAGGUACAAGCUUUCCAUGCAAGAUUGACUCUUCUUUAAAUCAUCUAUCUAAAAGCCUGUUUUGACUGUAGCUGAGAGUGGGUCAUGCUGAAGGUUUUUGGUACAUGAAUGGUACUGUUUAACUGUUUGGUUGGUUUAUUUAAGAAAGGAAAAGAAAUUUAGUGCAGGAGAAAGAGGAGAGAAUGAAUGUUUUUAGCCCAGUCCUUCCAAGUGUAAAUUUCCAGUUCUCAAGCUUUAUUUUCUGUGUUACAUUGUCAUAUAAAUCUCAGUGAGUGAACUAGAGAGCUAUUUCAAAAUAUCAGGAUCUCAUGAAUAAUACUCUGAAUUGUGUGUGUGAAAUGUUUAAUAGUUGUUUUAUGAAAUGAGUCUCCUAUUUUGAGGUCAUUAGAAUUCCUGUCUUAAUUUCUGGGGCCUGUUUUAAGGAUUAAUACAAUAUUAACCCUGUGGAGUUUUUAUUUAAAAAAAAAAAGUAUUCUCUCUUCAAGUUCUGUUACAAGGGAGAUAUCAAAGUAUA